UACGUAGGGCGCAAGCGUUUGUCCGGAAUUAUUGGGCGUAAAGAGCUCGUAGGCGGCUUGUCACGUCGGGUGUGAAAGCCCCGGGGCUUAACCCCGGGUCUGCAUUCGAUACGGGCUGGCUAGAGUGUGGUAGGGGAGAUCGGAAUUCCUGGUGUAGCGGUGAAAUGCGCAGAUAUCAGGAGGAACACCGGUGGCGAAGGCGGAUCUCUGGGCCAUUACUGACGCUGGAGGAGCGAAAGCGUGGGGAGCGAACAGG
rnacentral:rRNA from 1 species